GAUGAACGCUAGCGGCAGGCUUAAUACAUGCAAGUCGAGGGGCAGCAUGACUGUAGCAAUACAGUUGAUGGCGACCGGCAAACGGGUGCGGAACACGUACAGAACCUUCCUUCGAGCGGGGAAUAGCCCAGAGAAAUUUGGAUUAAUACCCCAUAGUACAACGGAGUGGCAUCACUUUGUUGUUAAAGAUUUAUCACUUGAAGAUGGCUGUGCGGCUGAUUAGGUAGUUGGCGGGGUAACGGCCCACCAAGCCUGCGAUCAGUAACUGGUGUGAGAGCACGACCAGUCACACGGGCACUGAGACACGGGCCCGACUCCUACGGGAGGCAGCAGUAAGGAAUAUUGGUCAAUGGACGAAAGUCUGAACCAGCCAUGCCGCGUGGAGGAUGAAGGUCCUCUGGAUUGUAAACUUCUUUUAUAUGGGACGAAAAAGGGUUUUCUAACUCGUCUGACGGUACCAUAUGAAUAAGCACCGGCUAACUCCGUGCCAGC
rnacentral:rRNA from 1 species